AUAAUGAUUUUGGAUUUUUGCCGAGAAUCGAUUUUCUGUGUUUUUAGCUUAACAUCUGAUAGUUCCUCCAUUGGAGGACAACAUAUGUUAAACUGAUUUUUGGAAUCAGACGGAGUGCUAGGAGCUGGCUCCACCUCUGUCGCGGGUUGGCCCGGUAUUGAAGUACCGCCGGGAUUUCGGCCCAACUAAA